CAGUAGCCACGGUAAUACGUAGGGUGCAAGCGUUAAUAGGAAUUACUGGGCGUAAAGCGUGCGCAGGCGGUGAUAUAAGACAGAUGUGAAAUCCCCGGGCUCAACCUGGGAACUGCAUUUGUGACUGUAUAGCUAGAGUACGGCAGAGGGGGAUGGAAUUCCGCGUGUAGCAGUGAAAUGCGUAGAUAUGCGGAGGAACACCGAUGGCGAAGGCAAUCCCCUGGGCCUGUACUGACGCUCAUGCACGAAAGCGUGGGGAGCAAACAGGAUUAGAUACCCCUGUAGUCCCUGUCUCUUAUAC
rnacentral:rRNA from 1 species